GACAGAGGGUGCAAACGUUGUUCGGAAUUACUGGGCGUAAAGCGAGUGUAGGCGGUUUUGUAAGUCGGGUGUGAAAGCCCUGGGCUCAACCCAGGAAGUGCACUCGAAACUGCAAGGCUAGAGUAUCGGAGAGGUUGGUGGAAUUCUCGGUGUAGAGGUGAAAUUCGUAGAUAUCGAGAGGAACACCGGUGGCGAAGGCGGCCAACUGGACGAAUACUGACGCUGAGACUCGAAAGCGUGGGGAGCAAACAGG
rnacentral:rRNA from 1 species